CUGCAGCGCUCCCUCUCCGCUAACCCAUCCUUAAACACGGAUCUAAUCCCGACUGCACCGCAGCGCCGCGAAAUCCCACCCCACACACGCGGGGAGCCUCGCCGCCCCUUCAGGCACGAUAAACUCCUGAUUGCAUCCCCGAAGCUCUGACGGGCUGGGCGCGAUGGAGAGCGAACGGGGCCGCUUCUCCUCGGGGGGACCCAAACCCAAACCCGGGCUCGCCUCCUGCUCCUCCCGCACACCAGACUCCUGAGGAUUCCCCUGGAAGGCGGGAGAGCGCGGCAUUCCCGCACCGGGCAGCUCUCCUGCAUUGCCCGCAGUGCCUGGCGGAGCAGCGCAUCCCAUUUUCCCCCCUUUGCCGGGAGCCCCGGCGAUGCUUUAUCGCGCCUCUGCCAGAGCCAGACGGAAAGGUUGCGGCAAAGGGUUUCCUCAUCUCCUUCCAACCCUGUCCUUAACAGUUUCAGACUUCAACCCUGAACACCCUUUCCCUGGCUUGGAAGGCACAGAAUGAGGUCAGAGAAGGAAGCUCAGUGCGAAUUUCAGGUGCUGAAAAUGAGUUGCUUUGCACCAGUAGAUCUCCUGAAUAUGCAAUGAAGAAACCUGCAGCAAGAGCCCCAGCCAAGGCAGGAGAUGAGACGGCGAGCUGGGAAACAAAGGUGAAGGAGAGAAGCGAUGAAAGCGAAGCGUUCUGUACAAUAGCUAAAAUACAAACCUCUGGAGACCUCAAGAUAUUGCAUGAACAUCAAUUUCCACGGCCAUUGUCUGAGCGGCGUUAGCGUGCGCGGGACCGCGGCCCCCCUUCCCCUGGGCGAGGGGAGCGUCGUGGCAAAUCAGGAAAUAGCAUAAUUGAAUCAGCUCCAGCACAUGGCAGGGCUUAAAACCCACCCAGAGGAGGCUCUGGGAUGACCACACAUCCCAGGCUCCUUGGCUGCCUCCCCUGCCAAAUUACGUCUGUGGGGAAAGCGAGCGAGGUUUAAGCCGCGGCAGGAGACGGUCCAGCCGUGGAUUUCAUUAGUGGUCUCUCUGGCCAUCUGUGAGACUUUAUGGCCAAGAAGCUGCAUGAAACUGCUUGCUAGAAACUUCUUUACAGAAAAGAUAGCUGGAAACGAUGCAAGUCGUGAUGCUGUUUACAGAGAGUUUGUUUUGAAUUUAGGAAUAAAACAAAACACCGGUAGAUCUCCACUGAGACAACACACGGGAGCCAGGACAUGCUGCUGCAGGUUGGAGAGGUACCAUUCCCAUUCCUCUCUCCCUUCCCUUUCACCCCCACAUAAAAGUUGACAAUUAGUUUUUACCGCACAUACAUGAAGGGAGAUACAUGCUUUGGCCUCUGUGUGAGAGCAAUAAUUCUCUUAAAUUGAUGUGUCAGCGAACUAAAACUCAAUUUUUAUUUUUUUUUUUGCACGCUGUAUUUUGCAGUCAGAGGACCUUCACUAAUCGGAAUAAAGCAAUUUGGCUCCCUGUCAUUGCUCACUGAAAACAUAUGAGCUGGUUGGCACAUAUGGCCUCCUAGAUUUAUCAGUGUCUCCCAUCUAGUGCAUGGGAGGUUCAGGGCUGCAGCUCAGAGAGGAGUGAAUUUUUAUGAAUGCUUUUUCCCCUCCCUGAGAAUUCCCAGAGCUAGAUUUAUUCCUUAGUUUCAGAAAUAUUUUAUUUAUUAUCCAUAUCCUAUAUCUUCUUAAGGUCAAA